CGUGUAGGCGGUUUAACAAGUCAGAUGUGAAAGCCCUGGGCUUAACCCGGGAAGUGCAUUUGAAACUGUUUCACUAGAGUAUGGGAGAGGAGAUUGGAAUUCCUGGUGUAGAGGUGAAAUUCGUAGAUAUCAGGAGGAACACCCGUGGCGAAGGCGAUUCUCUGGACCAAUACUGACGCUGAGACGCGAAAGCGUGGGGAGCAAACAGGAUUAGAUACCCUGGUAGUCC
rnacentral:rRNA from 1 species